CCUACGGGAGGCAGCAGUGGGGGAUAUUGGACAAUGGAGGGAACCCUGAUCCAGCGACGCCGCGUGAGUGAUGAAGUAUUUCGGUGUGUAAAGCUCUGUCUGCAGGGAAGAAAGCAAUGACGGUACCUGACCAAGACGCCUCGGCUAACUACGUGCCAGCAGCCGCGGUAAUACGUAGGAGGCGAGCGUUAUCCGGAAUUACUGGGUGUAAAGGGAGCGUAGACGGCUGUGCAAGUCUGGAGUGAAAGGCGGCGGCCCAACCCCCGGACUGCUAUGGAAACUGGAUGGCUGGAGUGCAGGAGAGGUAAGCGGAAUUCGUAGUGUAGCGGUGAAAUGCGUAGAUAUUAGGAGGAACACCAGUGGCGAAGGCGGCUUACUGGACUGUAACUGACGUUGAGGCUCGAAAGCGUGGGGAGCAAACAGGAUUAGAUACCCUAGUAGUC
rnacentral:rRNA from 1 species